UAUGGCUAGAGUUAUGAUGGGAUAUGAAGGCGAUGAACAAGAAGAACAAACAGUACACGAUUUCACAUCUAUUAUAACAACCGCUAGAGAGAAUUUUAAAGAUGCAAGAAUUCUACUAUCAACUCCUACUUUUCUGUGGCCGUUUGUAAAAGCCUGGAGACGCCAUAGUGGUAGAUGGGAUCAUUUGCUACGAACAACAAAAAGAUAUAUUGAGAAUUAUUUAUCCCGAGACUCAACAGACGUAGAAGAGAUAUCAUGUGUUCUGUCACAUUUGCUGAAAUCACCAGAAUUAACACUACCUGAAGCUCAUAUCAAUAUUACCGAUUUAGUAUUAGCCAGUAUAGAUACGACUUCUAGUUCUAUAUUAUGGUGUGUAUAUGAGCUCUCCCGGUCAUCUGAAACUCAACACACAUUAUUCCUUGAAAUCAAAGAUUUUCUAGAAAAACAUGGAACACCAUCAUUUAGUGGUCUUCAAGAUUUACCAUACCUUAAAGCUGUCCUAAAAGAAUCCCAGAGGCUUCAUCCCGUAGGAUUCUUUGUUAGUAGAAUACUGCAAGAGUCAUCUACAAUUCAAGGAUAUCAUAUAGACACAAAGAGUCAUGUGGCAGGAUCUAUGUAUGUGAUUGGAAGAGAUAGUACUUUAUUUCCUCAGCCUGAUGUAUUUAACCCAGAUAGAUGGUUGGAAGACAACAGUGACCUGGAAACAUUCACUAAUAAUGUUCCAUUUGGUCUAGGUAGACGAAUGUGUAUAGGUCGACGUGUAGCUGAGAUUGUCAUGUCUUGUUUUAUCUUCCAUUUGGUGAAAUCAUAUAGGCUAGAGGCUAUGUCUGAAGAACCCUUAGAACCAACAUUUCGAUUACUAAUGGUACCUGGUCAGCCCGUUAUAAUACGUUUAGCAUCACGAU